rnacentral:rRNA from 1 species
UACGUAGGGGCUAGCGUUAUCCGGAAUUACUGGGCGUAAAGGGUGCGUAGGCGGUUUCUUAAGUCAGAGGUGAAAGGCUACGGCUCAACCGUAGUAAGCCUUUGAAACUGGGAAACUUGAGUGCAGGAGAGGAGAGUGGAAUUCCCAGUGUAGCGGUGAAAUGCAUAGAUAUUAGGAGGAACACCAGUUGCGAAGGCGGCUCUCUGGACUGUAACUGACACUGAGGCACGAAAGCGUGGGGAGCAAACAGGAUUAGAUACCCUGGUAGUCCCUGA